rnacentral:rRNA from 1 species
CCUACGGGGGGCAGCAGUGGGGAAUAUUGCACAAUGGGGGAAACCCUGAUGCAGCGACGCCGCGUGAGUGAAGAAGUAAUUCGUUACGUAAAGCUCUAUCAGCAGGGAAGAAACACUGACCUUACGGUCAGCAGACGGUACCUGAGUAAGAAGCCCCGGCUAACUACGUGCCAGCAGCCGCGGUAAUACGUAGGGGGCAAGCGUUAUCCGGAUUUACUGGGUGUAAAGGGAGCGCAGGCGGCCUGCCAAGUCUGGUGUGAAAACCCGGGGCCCAACCCCGGGCCUGCAUUGGAAACUGGCGGGCUGGAGUGUCGGAGGGGCAGGCGGAAUUCCUAGUGUAGCGGUGAAAUGCGUAGAUAUUAGGAGGAACACCGGUGGCGAAGGCGGCCUGCUGGACGAUGACUGACGCUGAGGCUCGAAAGCGUGGGGAGCAAACAGGAUUAGAUACCCCUGUAGUC